GAUGAACGCUGGCGGCGUGCCUAAUACAUGCAAGUCGAGCGAACAGACGAGGAGCUUGCUCCUCUGACGUUAGCGGCGGACGGGUGAGUAACACGUGGAUAACCUACCUAUAAGACUGGGAUAACUUCGGGAAACCGGAGCUAAUACCGGAUAAUAUAUUGAACCGCAUGGUUCAAUAGUGAAAGACGGUUUUGCUGUCACUUAUAGAUGGAUCCGCGCCGCAUUAGCUAGUUGGUAAGGUAACGGCUUACCAAGGCAACGAUGCGUAGCCGACCUGAGAGGGUGAUCGGCCACACUGGAACUGAGACACGGUCCAGACUCCUACGGGAGGCAGCAGUAGGGAAUCUUCCGCAAUGGGCGAAAGCCUGACGGAGCAACGCCGCGUGAGUGAUGAAGGUCUUCGGAUCGUAAAACUCUGUUAUUAGGGAAGAACAAAUGUGUAAGUAACUAUGCACGUCUUGACGGUACCUAAUCAUAAAGCCACGGCUAACUACGUG
rnacentral:rRNA from 1 species